rnacentral:tRNA from 1 species
GCCUUGGAGUGUCAUCACAUGCGGUUGCAAGCCGCGGAAAGCGGAAUAAUAUCUGCCGGGGCU